rnacentral:rRNA from 1 species
UACAGCAGCCAUUUCACUCUGCAACUCACAACUGGCAACCCACUGAAGCUAAACAGGUGAGAGCAUGGUCAGUACCUGGAUGGGAGACCUCCUGGGAAAAACUAAGGUUGUUGCUGGAA